CGUGUAGGCGACGAGACAAGUCAGAUGUGAAAUCUACAGGCUUAACCUGUAAACUGCGUUUGAAACUGUUUUGUUAGAGUUUGGGAGAGGAAAACGGAACUCCUGGUGUAGGGGUGAAAUCUGUAGAUAUCAGGAAGAACACCGGCGACGAAGGUUGUUUUCUGGCCCAUAACUGAUGCUGAGACGCGAAAGCGUGGGGAGCAAACAGGAUUAGAUACCCUGGUAGUCC
rnacentral:rRNA from 1 species